CCUACGGGAGGCUGCAGUAGGGAAUCUUUCACAAUGGGCGAAAGCCUGAUGGAGCAACGCCGCGUGCAGGAUGAUGGCCUUCGGGUUGUAAACUGCUUUUAUAAGCGAGAAAUAUGAUGGUAACUUAUGAAUAAGGAUCGGCUAACUACGUGCCAGCAGCCGCGGUCAUACGUAGGAUCCGAGCAUUAUCCGGAGUGACUGGGUGUAAAGAGUUGCGUAGGUGGCAUAAUAAGUAGCUAGUGAAAUCUGGUGGCUCAACCAUUCAGACUAUUAGCUAAACUGUUAAGCUCGAGACCGUUAGGGGUAACAGGAAUUUCUGGUGUAGGAGUGAAAUGCGUAGAUAUUAGAAGGAACACCAAUAGCGUAGGCAGGUUACUGGGACGGUUCUGACGCUGAGGCACGAAAGCGUAGGGAGCAAACGGGAUUAGAUACCCGAGUAGUC
rnacentral:rRNA from 1 species